UACGGAGGGUGCGAGCGUUGUUCGGAAUCACUGGGCGUAAAGCGCGUGUAGGCGGCCUUGUAAGUUUGGUGUGAAAGCCCGGGGCUUACCCCCGGAAGUGCACUGGAGACUGCAAGGCUGGAGUACCGGAGAGGAAAGUGGAAUUCCUGGUAUAGCGGUGAAAUGCGUAGAUAUCUGGAGGAACACCAAUAGCGAAGGCAGCUCGCUGGGACGGUACUGACGCUGAGGCGCGAAAGCGUGGGGAGCGAACAGG
rnacentral:rRNA from 1 species